GACGAACGCUGGCGGCGUGCUUAACACAUGCAAGUCGAACGGAAAGGCCCUGCUUUUGUGGGGUGCUCGAGUGGCGAACGGGUGAGUAACACGUGAGUAACCUGCCCUUGACUUUGGGAUAACUUCAGGAAACUGGGGCUAAUACCGGAUAGGAGCUCCUGCUGCAUGGUGGGGGUUGGAAAGUUUCGGCGGUUGGGGAUGGACUCGCGGCUUAUCAGCUUGUUGGUGGGGUAGUGGCUUACCAAGGCUUUGACGGGUAGCCGGCCUGAGAGGGUGACCGGCCACAUGGGGAAUGAGAUAAGGACGAGACGGCUACGGGAGGCAGCAGGGGGGAAUAUGGGACAAGGGGCGGAAGCGUGAUGCAGCAACGCCGCGGGGGGGAGGACGGCAUUCGGGGUGUAAACCGAUGUCGACGGGGAAGAAGCGUGAGUGACGGUAAUGGGUAAAGAAGAACCGGCUAACUAAGUG
rnacentral:rRNA from 1 species